GGAGCGGGGUCGGCGACCGCUCGCCCGCGAGGGCGAGAGGAAAGUCCGGGCUCCGCAGAGCAGGGUGGUGGGUAACGCCCACCGUCCGCGAGGACCGGGAAAGUGCCACAGAGAACAGACCGCCCCUUCCGCCCCGCGCGGAGAGGGCAAGGGUGAAACGGCGAGGUAAGAGCUCACCGCGGAAGCGGCGACGCUUCCGGCACGGCAAACCCCACCCGGAGAAAGACCGAAUAGGGGAGCGCGCGGCUCGCGCACAGGCUCCCGGGUAGGUCGUUCGAGGCGCAUCGCGAGAUGCGUCCCAGAUAGAUGGUCGCCGCCGCUCCGCAAGGAGCGCGCACAGAACCCGGCUUAGGAUCUCGCUCCCGAG
rnacentral:RNase_P_RNA from 1 species